rnacentral:lncRNA from 1 species
AAAAAUUUUGGGGGUGUUGUACAUUCGAAAAAAUAGAUUAAGAUGUUCCACGAUUAUUUUAAUGCUAUUUUAUACCUCUAAGUAUCGACUUUUUAGUAAAUAUUUCAAACCUAUAAAAAUAAUCACAAAAUUCUAUUAUAACAUAGGGCAUCAUAUUCGUUUUAGUUUUUAUAGAUACAUAUCUAGAUAUAUACUAAGUAU